rnacentral:rRNA from 1 species
CCUACGGGAGGCUGCAGUGAGGAAUAUUGGUCAAUGGGCGCGAGCCUGAACCAGCCAAGUAGCGUGAAGGAUGACUGCCCUACGGGUUGUAAACUUCUUUAGGCGGGGAGCAAUGCCGGGCACGCGUGCCCGGAGGGAGAGUACCCGCAGAAUAAGCAUCGGCUAACUCCGUGACAGCAGCCGCGGUAAUACGGAGGAUGCAAGCGUUAUCCGGAUUUAUUGGGUUUAAAGGGUGCGUAGGCGGAUUUUUAAGUCAGCGGUAAAAUGUCCGGGCUCAACCCGGGCCGGCCGUUGAAACUGGGGAUCUUGAGUGGGCGAGAAGUAUGCGGAAUGCGUGGUGGAGCGGUGAAAUGCAUAGAUAUCACGCAGAACUCCGAUUGCGAAGGCAGCAUACCGGCGCCCGACUGACGCUGAGGCACGAAAGCGUGGGGAUCGAACAGGAUUAGAUACCCCUGUAGUC